GCACCUCAUAUUAAACGGUGCCAUUAAGCGAACUGUAUAUUGCCGAUUUUUGGCAAGCUUCAUGCGAGGAAUCUUCGAUGGAUCGAAGUCCGACAUCUUGCUGCAAAAUCAAAAGAGGUUUCGCCGGACAGAAUACUCCUGGUCAACUUUUUCAAUUAGAAAGAACCAGGCCGAAUCCGCAACAAUAACAGCAAUAUGUGGCCACGACGUCAGGUCUACGUAAACGAAACGACCCAGAUUUAUAUCUGGUCAAGGACUGUCACUUCAGCAUCACUCUGUUACAACAACAAAAACUGCAAUAUAUGGCGUCGUUUAACUACCAGGUAUAAAUCCCAAUAAAAUGUCCUCGCUGAAACGUAGGAUGGUAUGAAGAACCACUUCCUCAGAAUGCCUGUUGGUUAGGCUAGUGUAUUGGCGCUUCUGAUGGCUGGCUGUAUUUGGUUAUUAUGUAAAUUUAUUUCAAUGCCAACGUUUACCCACAUACCAUGCUAGAAA